rnacentral:lncRNA from 1 species
GAUUGUUAGAUUCUCUUUCCGAAGUUUAUUUUGACAAAAACAAUCUCAGAGGUCCUAUCCCUGCUUCACUUGGAAAAUUAGGCAACUUAACAAAAUUGGGCAUAUCACAAAAUGACCUUUCUGGUCCCAUUCCAAGAGAGAUAGGUGACCUAAGAAGAUUGAAGUUUCUUUACUUAUGGAGGAACCAACUUUCGGGAUCCAUACCUGCAGAGAUUGGGAGUCUAACCGAUCUUAUUGAAUUACAUUUUUAUGAUAAUAAGUUGGUCGGGCGUAUCCCUGCUUCACUAGGAAACCUAAGUAGUCUAAAUGUUCUCUAUCUUUUCGGAAACCAAUUUUCAGGGUCCAUUCCUCCUUCUCUUGGAAAAUUAGGCAACUUAAGAAAUUUGAGCAUAUCAGAGAAUGACCUUUCUGGUCCCAUUCCAAGAGAGAUAGGUGACCUAAGAAGAUUGAAGUUUCUUAACUUAUGGAGGAAUCAACUUUCGGGAUCCAUACCUGUAGAGAUUGGGAGGCUAACCGAUCUUAUUGAAUUAGCAUUUUCUAAUAAUAAGUUGGUUGGGAGUAUCCCCGCUUCGCUAGGAAACCUAAGCGGUCUAAAUGCUCUCUAUCUUUACAGUAACCAACUUUCGGGAUCCAUACCUGCAGAGAUUGGGAGUCUAACCGAUCUUAUUGAAUUACAUUUUUAUGAUAAUAAGUUGGUCGGGUGUAUCCCUGCUUCACUAGGAAACCUAAGCAAUCUAAAUGUCCUCUAUCUUUACAAAAACCAACUUUCGGGAUCCAUACCUGCAGAGAUUGGGAGGCUAACCGAUCUUAUUGACCUAGAAUUUUCUGAUAAUAAGUUGGUCGGGCGUAUCCCUGCUUCACUAGGAAACCUAAGUAGUCUAAAUGUUCUCUAUCUUUUCGGAAACCAAUUUUCAGGGUCCAUUCCUCCUUCUCUUGGAAAAUUAGGCAACUUAAUAAAUUUGAGCCUAGCAAAGAAUGACCUUUCUGGUCCCAUUCCAAGAGAGAUAGGUGACCUAAGAAGAUUGAAGUUUCUUUACUUAUUGACGAACCAACUUUCGGGAUCCAUACCUGCAGAGAUUGGGAGGCUAACCGAUCUUAUUGACCUAGAUUUUUCUGAUAAUAAGUUGGUCGGGCGUAUCCCUGCUUCACUAGGAAAUCUAAGCAGUCUACAUGUCCUCUAUCUUUACAAAAACCAACUUUCGGGAUCCAUACCUGCAGAGAUUGAGAGGCUAACCGAUCUUAUUGACUUAGCAUUUUCUGAUAAUAAGUUGGUCGGGCGUAUCCCUGCUUCACUAGGAAACCUAAGCAGUCUAAAUGUCCUCUAUCUUUACCAAAACCAACUUUCGGGAUCCAUACCUUCAGCGAUUGGGAGGCUAACCAAUCUUAUUGAAUUAGAUUUUGCUGAUAAUACUUUGAGUGGUUCAAUCCCUGCAUCAAUUGGAAGCAUGGUCAAUUUAACUAUGUUACGCCUUAGAGAUAACAACUUUCUCGGUAUCUUGCCUCCCG